AAUAUUGCGCAAUGGAGGGAACUCUGACGCAGCGACGCCGCGUGAGCGAUGAAGGGCUNCGGAUCNUNAAGCUCUGUCCUUGGGGNGAAAGGGAGCCGUAAGGCUUCUUGACGGUACCCAUUGAGGAAGCCCCGGCUAACUACGUGCCAUCAGCCGCGGUAAUACGUAGGGGGCAAGCGUUGUCCGGAAUUAUUGGGCGUAAAGGGUGCGUAGGCGGACCUUUAAGUUAGAUGUGAAAGCCCACGGCUUAACCGUGGGACUGCAUUCGAAACUGGAGGGCUUGAGUGUCGGAGAGGGCAGUGGAAUUCCCAGUGUAGCGGUGGAAUGCGUAGAUAUUGGGAGGAACACCAGUGGCGAAGGCGACUGCCUGGACGAUAACUGACGCUGAGGCACGAAAGCUAGGGGAGCAAACA
rnacentral:rRNA from 1 species